UACAGAGGUCUCAAGCGUUGUUCGGAUUCAUUGGGCGUAAAGGGUGUGUAGGUGGCGCGCUAAGUCGGGUGUGAAACCUCCAGGCUCAACCUGGAGACGCCACCCGAUACUGCUAUAGCUUGAGUCCGGUAGGGGAGCGUGGAAUUCCUGGUGUAGCGGUGAAAUGCGCAGAUAUCAGGAGGAACACCGGUGGCGAAGGCGGGUCUCUGGGCCGAAAUUGACGCUGAGGAGCGAAAGCGUGGGGAGCAAACAGG
rnacentral:rRNA from 1 species